rnacentral:rRNA from 1 species
UACGGAGGGUGCAAGCGUUGUCCGGAAUCACUGGGCGUAAAGAGCUCGUAGGCGGCCUGUUGCGUCCGCUGUGAAAUCCCGGGGCUUAACCCCGGGCUUGCAGUGGAUACGGGCAGGCUGGAGGCAGGCAGGGGAGAACGGAAUUCCCGGUGUAGCGGUGAAAUGCGCAGAUAUCGGGAGGAACACCGGUGGCGAAGGCGGUUCUCUGGGCCUGUACUGACGCUGAGGAGCGAAAGCGUGGGGAGCGAACAGG